rnacentral:snoRNA from 2 species
GUUUAUUGAUGACUAUCCAUGCUAAUACUGAGACGUCAGGAGUAAGAAUUCUUCUGGAUGUAAAUGACUAGUUUUACUAGAACUGAAAGCA